AUUGAACGCUGGCGGCAGGCCUAACACAUGCAAGUCGAGCGGAUGAAGGGAGCUUGCUCCUGGAUUCAGCGGCGGACGGGUGAGUAAUGCCUAGGAAUCUGCCUGGUAGUGGGGGAUAACGUCCGGAAACGGGCGCUAAUACCGCAUACGUCCUGAGGGAGAAAGUGGGGGAUCUUCGGACCUCACGCUAUCAGAUGAGCCUAGGUCGGAUUAGAUAGUUGGUGGGGUAAAGGGCUACCAAGGCGACGAUCCGUAACUGGUCUGAGUGGAUGAUCAGUCACACUGGAACUGAGACACGGUCCAGACUCCUACGGGAGGCAGCAGUGGGGAAUAUUGGACAAUGGGCGAAAGCCUGAUCCAGCCAUGCCGCGUGUGUGAAGAAGGUCUUCGGAUUGUAAAGCACUUUAAGUUGGGAGGAAGGGCAGUAAGUUAAUACCUUGCUGUUUUGACGGUACCGACAGAAUAAGCACCGGCUAACUUCGUG
rnacentral:rRNA from 1 species